rnacentral:lncRNA from 1 species
UAACUGGUUAUAAUUCAAAUGUCUACUUUUCAAUGGCUAUAAUUCUAUGUGUAUAUAUACCACUUCCUCCUACCUACCAUCAACAUUCUAGGUUGUGGCUUCUCUUAUCUCUCUCCUAAGUCUCUGUCUCCCACACGGCCACACCGCAAUGAGUGAUAGCAAACUCUUUAUGGAUAUGCUCAUGAAUUCGUUGUCAUCUUCAUCUAACAUGGAAGAACUCAUUCUUGUAGCAUGCAGAGACCACGAGAAAGAUGAAUAUGUGAAUGCUCGAUGCCAUGGCGGCUCCAAGCCUAGACAUCCGACAACCAACAUGCUCCAGCAACCACCGCCCUGUGAUGCUACCCUACACAGCAUCACAACGCCGACCUCUCCGCCUCCAAUGCCAACAUCGGUUGCUCAAGCUUACCGCGGCCCACGCUGCGAUGCUAUCAACCACGCAUGUGUCACUAUGCAUGUCGCAACCACCACUCUCUGGCUGAGCACAAGCAACCACCCUCCCUACUCACCACCUCCACCACCAUGGAGCGCCGCUGCCACUCACUCCGCACGAAAGCGUACCUCUGCCGGCUGGAUCCACAACAAAAGCUUGUGGCAGCGGCUGGAUCCAGCACGACGCACCCCUAGCUUCUAGAACUACCUGAUAUCCCCAACCUCACCUUGGGACGGUGGGUUGGCACACAACAGCGAUUUCAGGGUGGUGGUGCGACGCCUUCCUCCUUCUCUAGUAGCUUUAGAAUUGGCGGGUUGACGCAUGACUGUGACCUCUGGAAAUUUUACGAGGCUUGCUUUUUUUUCAUGGACCCUGAAGAAAAAAAAAUUCAAGGAUUUGAAUGACAAUUGUUUUAUAAAUAUUCAGUGAUAGUAAGGCAAAAAAGAUGGUUAUUGCUUAAAUAACUGCCGUUGAACUUCAAAAUGAUGGUUCUUGCUUUAUAGUGGGUGCCUCGGCGGUUAAAAACUUAAAAAUUUCACUAGUAAUAUGACAAUAAUAUUUAGUUGGUGAGAUGAAAGACCUCGUUCCCUAAUAUAUCUAUACCUAAUAAUAAAGGGGCUAUUGCUUCUGGCGGUACGUCAUCGAAAUCACCCUUAGAGUUGCACAAUAUUACCCAUCGAUGGCACCUAUAAGUGGUAAAAAAACAUUUCACACAGGGGAAUCGCUGCUUGGGAUGGCCCAUGUGAUAAGAACCUUCUAUACUGCGCUCUGCGUGGUGGUAGAAGACACGGCGUGCCUGUUCGGGCCAGCCCAUGUCCGGGUGGCCUGUUUUUUAAAUUUCUUUUUUAUUUUUUGUUUUCCUUUUAUGUCUUCAUUUUUUUCUACUUCAAAUAAUUUGGGACUUCAAAAAGUUCUGAAAUGUGAAUUUCGAAAUAAAAUGUUUAAUAAUUCAUAAAUGUGGAUUCAGAAAAUGUUUGUGAUUUUUAAAAAAUGUUCACAUAUUCAAAAAAGUUCGCAAUUUUGAAAAAAAUCUUCAGGAAAUAAAAGAAUGUUCAUGAUUUGUUUUGAAAAGUUCAUGUAUUAAUUUUUUAGUGAAAUUGAACAGAAUUUCGCCAAUUAAAAAAAUGUUCAUGAAUUGAAAAAUAUACUAAAAAUUCAAAAAACUGUUUGUGACUUACAAAAUAGUUUUAUUGAUUCGUAAAAUGUUCGUGAAUUAAAAAAUGAUCAUGCAUUUCAAAAAUGUUAGUUAAGUCCAAAAAAUGUUCGUGAAUUUCAAAACUUGUUCCACUAAUUUCCAAAAAAUAAUGUUCGUUGAUUCUAGAAAUGUUCGCAUAUUCAAGAAAAAUGUUUUAAAGAAUGUUCACAUUUUUUAAUUUUUUUUUGCAAAUAGUACUAAAUCUUCAUGAAUUCAAAUUUGUUUCGCGAUUUUAGAAAAUGUUCGAAAAUCUGUAAAAUAUUCACGAAUUUGAAAAAUGUUCAUGAUUUCAAAUAUGUUUACGAGUUAAAAAAAAUUCAUGAUUGUCAAAAAUUGUUCACGAUUUCAUGAAAAUGAGAGUGAUAGUGUAUCUCGGGCAUGGCCAUUGGAGAUUAUAAUUUUUUCUGUCAUUGCAACACACGGGCCAUUUUGCUAGUGUAAUGCAAAAUAUUACACAAGAAACAAUAUAUGGUAUCUGCUUAAAAUAGAAAAAAUGUUUACAAAAGAAAGUUCAAAAUAACUUACGUUAUGUGCUCUACCUUGUAUUGUGCCCCUACCUCCUACGAGAACACCAGAACACGUGCUAGUUUGGUCGACAUUGGCAUUCCAUACACCUUCAGAGCCAUCUCCUUGAGGAAUCAAAUCACUUCUGAUGCAAGGAAAAAUGGAAUGGAAAUGUAGGAAGUUUUGAAGUGUUGAUAGAUGAGAGCAUGGUGCAUCUUAUUUUUUUUUUAGAACGAAGGCUCAAGAAGAGCCCGGCUUUGAAUUAACAAAGCCAUCAACCGGCCAGGAUAACAACUCCAAAUAUACCACUCACCAACUAAAGCAAAGAAAACAAACAACAAAGAUACAGGGGCGCCAAGGAAUAGCUCACAAUGCACAUACUACAAGCUAGUUAGAAAUUGGCGUAAAGCAUAUAGCUUGGAGAUGCCACUAUCCUCUUGCACGCCGAAAACCAAGGCGAAAGCGAAAUCCUGGUCAGGAGAGUGCACCGACGAUGAUGCAAGGCACGCCGUUGCCAAAACCUGGGCUUGAAGAAAGACACAUCCAUCCAGAUCCAUCGUCAAAGAAGGCCCCUGCCUCCUCGCCUGGCUCGAAGGCGCCGCACCGUUGAGCGAUGGACAUGCUCACCCUAGAGCCUAGAUGGAUGGCCUCGAAGAAACCACUUGGGCGGAACCAGGCGUUCCCGACAUGCCGACGAUGACUCACCUAGAGCAGAGCAACACCAUAUGCCAAAGUUCUGACUUGGAAGAGGGCGAGCGGUCAGAAUGCACAAUUGGGCAACAGCGAGGGCCAAGACCAAAUUGGGAGCUUUGGCUCGCUCGACGAGCUGAAGUGCAGCCACCGUAGGAGGGGAACCCUAUCCCCUCCCGUCCUGGAAGAUCCAAGGGCACCGGAGGAAUAAACUGCAGCCCGGCGAAGAGCACCAUAAGAACUUGACCCAGCACCCAGGAAGACACCGCCACCGCUGGACGCACGCCGCCGCCGCCGACACACUCCACCUACACCACAACAAAGCCCACAACCCAUCUUUGUUCCCAAAACAGCGCCUUCAAGAAGGUUACGGUGCCAAGGGCGUCGCCGCUGCCCAACAAAAUUGAGGAUUUCUCCCGGGAGACAAAGGGGAGGGGGAUGGGGAGCAAGACCUGAACGGCGCCUCCGGGAAGGUGCGCGGCGCCCGCGGGCGUCGCCGCCGUCGCCGCGGGCAUGGCUGGCUGGGGUUUCCCCCGGUCCUACAUCCUGACACCCACUCCCACCCGAGCAGACCGAGGCCCCUCGACGAGGCAGGCCGGAUCUGGGGAGGGGAGGAGCUUGCUGGAGAAGAAGGGCAGUGGGGGCGGCCAGAUCUGAUGCAGCCGGAU